rnacentral:rRNA from 1 species
GGUCCGGCUAAUUACGUGCCAGCAGCCGCGGUAAUACGUAAGGACCGAGCGUUGUCCGGAAUCAUUGGGCGUAAAGAGUACGUAGGCGGUAAGAUAAGUUAGAAGUAAAAGGCACCGGCUCAACCGGCGUAAGCUUUUAAAACUGUUUUACUUGAGACAUUGAGGGGAAAGUGGAAUUUCUAGUGUAGCGGUGAAAUGCGCAGAUAUUAGGAAGAAUACCAGUGGCGAAGGCGACUGUCUGGACAUUAACUGACGCUGAGGUACGAAAGCGUGGGGAGCAAACAGGAUCAGAUACCCUGGUAGUCCACGCUGUAAACGAUGAGUGCAAGGUGUUGGGGGUCAAACCUCGGUGCCGCCGUUAACACAGUAAGCACUCCGCCUGGGGAGUACGUACGCA